AGUGAACGCUGGCGGUAGGCCUAACACAUGCAAGUCGGACGGCAGCACAGUAAGAGCUUGCUCUUACGGGUGGCGAGUGGCGGACGGGUGAGGAAUACAUCGGAAUCUACUUUUUCGUGGGGGAUAACGUAGGGAAACUUACGCUAAUACCGCAUACGACCUACGGGUGAAAGCAGGGGGUCUUCGGACCUUGCGCGAUUGAAUGAGCCGAUGUCGGAUUAGCUAGUUGGCGGGGUAAAGGCCCACCAAGGCGACGAUCCGUAGCUGGUCUGAGAGGAUGAUCAGCCACACUGGAACUGAGACACGGUCCAGACUCCUACGGGAGGCAGCAGUGGGGAAUAUUGGACAAUGGGCGCAAGCCUGAUCCAGCCAUACCGCGUGGGUGAAGAAGGCCUUCGGGUUGUAAAGCCCUUUUGUUGGGAAAGAAAAGCAGCAGGUUAAUACCCCGCUGUUCUGACGGUACCCAAAGAAUAAGCACCGGCUAACUUCGUG
rnacentral:rRNA from 1 species